rnacentral:rRNA from 1 species
AACGAACGCUGGCGGCGCGCCUAAUACAUGCAAGUCGAGCGAGAAGACGUAGCAAUACGUUUGUAAAGCGGCGAACGGGUGAGGAAUACAUGGGUAACCUACCCUCGAGUGGGGAAUAACUAGCCGAAAGGUUAGCUAAUACCGCGUACGCUCCUUGGACUUCGGUUCAGGGAGGAAAGCGAUACCGUGGGUAUCGCGCUCUUGGAUGGGCUCAUGUCCUAUCAGCUUGUUGGUGAGGUAACGGCUCACCAAGGCUUCGACGGGUAGCUGGUCUGAGAGGACGAUCAGCCACACUGGCACUGCGACACGGGCCAGACUCCUACGGGAGGCAGCAGUAAGGAAUAUUGCGCAAUGGGCGAAAGCCU